rnacentral:rRNA from 1 species
UACAGAGGUCUCAAGCGUUGUUUGGAUUCAUUGGGCGUAAAGGGUGCGUAGGCGGCGCGGUAAGUCGGGUGUGAAAUCUCGGAGCUUAACUCCGAAACUGCAUUCGAUACUGCCGUGCUUGAGGACUGGAGAGGAGACUGGAAUUUACGGUGUAGCGGUGAAAUGCGUAGAUAUCAGGAGGAACACCAAUGGCGAAGGCAGCUCGCUGGGACGGUACUGACGCUGAGACGCGAAAGCGUGGGGAGCGAACCGG